ACGAACGCUGGCCGCGUGCUUAACACAUGCAAGUCGAACGGAAAGGCCCUGCUUUUGUGGGGUGCUCGAGUGGCGAACGGGUGAGUAACACGAGAGUAACCUGCCCUUGACUUUGGGAUAACUUCAGGAAACUGGGGCUAAUACCGGAUAGGAGCUCCUGCUGCAUGGUGGGGGCUGGAAAGCUUCGGCGGAUGGGGAUGGACGCGCGGCUUAUCAGCUUGUUGGUGGGGUAGUGGCUUACCAAGGCUUUGACGGGUAGCCGGCCUGGGAGGGUGACCGGCCACAUUGGGACUGAGAUACGGCCCAGACUCCUACGGGAGGCAGCAGUGGGGAAUAUUGCACAGUGGUCGGAAGCCUGAUGCAGCAACGCCGCGUGCGGGAUGACGGCCUUCGGGUUGUAAACCGCUUUCGCCUGUGACGAAGCGUGAGUGACGGUAAUGGGUAAAGAAGCACCGGCUAACUACGUG
rnacentral:rRNA from 1 species